rnacentral:rRNA from 1 species
GACGAACGCUGGCGGCGUGCUUAACACAUGCAAGUCGAACGAAGUGGCGAACGGGUGAGUAACGCGUAAUCACCCUCCCCUUCAGGGGGGGACAACAGUUGGAAACGACUGCUAAUACCGCAUACUGAAGGAGGGGAUUGCGUUUGAUUGGCUAGUUGGCGUGGUAACGGCCCACCAAGGCGAUGAUCAGUAGCCGGGCUGAGAGGAGGAACGGCCACAUUGGGACUGUGACACGGCCCAGACUCCUACGGGAGGCAGCAGUGGGGAAUCUUCCGCAAUGGACGGAAGUCUGACGGAGCAACGCCGCGUGAGUGAUGACGGCCUUCGGGUUGGAAAGCUCUGUUAUUCGGGACGCGGUACCGAAAUAGAAAGCCACGGCUAACUACGUGCCAGCAGCCGCGGUAAUUC